GUAGGGAGCAAGCGUUGUUCGGAAUUAUUGGGCGUAAAGAGCGCGUAGGCGGCCAGGUAAGUCUGGUGUGAAAUCCCACAGCUCAACUGUGGAACUGCAUUGGAAACUGCUUGGCUAGAGUGCGGGAGAGGAGAGUGGAAUUCCCAGUGUAGAGGUGAAAUUCGUAGAUAUUGGGAGGAACACCAGUGGCGAAGGCGGCUCUCUGGACCGCAACUGACGCUGAGGCGCGAAAGCCAGGGGGGGAGCGAACGGGAUUAGAUACCCCGGUAGUCCUAGCCGUAAACGAUGGGCACUAGGUGUAGGAGGUAUCGACCCCUUCUGUGCCGUAGCUAACGCAUUAAGUGCCCCCGCCUGGGGAUACGGUCGCAAGACUA
rnacentral:rRNA from 1 species